rnacentral:sRNA from 1 species
CACCCUGGCUGUUCUUACAUCAACUUGAUGGGGAUUUUUCCUGCAUGAGAAAAGGGGGGAGAACACCAUGACUUUACAGGAAGCACGCUGAUUGGUGUGGAAGAAUGACUUCAUGCCAGGUCAGGAGCCUUAUUACAACGAUGCUAUCAGAUAUUUAAGGCCUCGGGUCCCCCAACGUUGCUCCUGCCUUACACAUUAACUGGACAUGGUCCCAGCAUAAGGGACGGCUGAAGACAGCCUCCUUAAGGCCUCUGAUCCCACAUCCUUUUUCCACCCAAGCUCUGGCCAUCUGUGUCUACAGCCUGAUUUCAUUCUCCCCAGUUCCAAAGCUGCCUUUCUCUCCCCUCUGUUGCAAACCCUGCUAAGUUGGUUUGAGAGGCUUAGCAGAAAGAAGCCACCAGCCCUUACGUCAAAUUCACGGGCGUCCCCCUAACUCCCUUCAUCCUUCUUCUCAUAAUACCUCAGAGCUUAUGGGAAUGGAAACCUUGAGCUCCAUCCAGAAAUGCCCCGAGGUAGAACUGAUCCCAGGAGCAUGGCAGAAGGGGUGCUCCACAGUGAGCUGAGUUGACCUGGCUAAUGAGGAUAUAAACACACUCACUGAAUGGGUGGAUGGAGGACGACUCAUAGUCCAGGGAGUGGUGCCAUUCAGAGAAAGCAUGGCACCUAACACGGUGCUUUAAAAAUCGGUGAGCCAAUGUCCAGGGUGCUCGUCAUUGCCAUGGCAGACAUUUCUUUUCGGAGCUUCACAUUUGGACUUCAUGAUUCACAGAAUGCUCCGUCCAUGGGCAACUUGGGCUUCAAGCGACUGGGCACACGGAACGAUGAAACACAGAUUAGAAGCUACUGGGGUGAGGGGCUCCUGACAGUGCAGACGGUUGUCAUCUGCAAAGCUCAUGCUUGAGAGAUUCACAAGCUAAGAAAAUAAGUAAAGGAAGAGAGGAAAGAAAGCUUUGCCCAAAACCCUCAUGCUACUUCAAGUAAGAUCACAGUUGUGUGUUCUGGUUUCAGGUUGGGCAUCUCAGGCUAGCACGGCAGCCUCGCCUUCCCAACACCACAGAAGUCCGCACAGCUCCACGCCAACCGCAACAGGAUACUCAAAAGAGGAUUGUUGAAUGAUUUGAAAACAACGUUCUCGAACCGUUUGGAGUCUUGAGAUUGAUCGGUGUUUCAGAGGAAGACAGUCAGAAAAGCUUCUCCAGGGACUUUCAAUAAAAAGCCAAGUAGCUGCCAUUCAGCUCUUGGGAGCAGCCUCACAGAGUCCACGCCACAGAAUAUGAGGUUAAUGCCUCCUAAAUCCUGAAGGCUUUAAUGGACCAGAUCUCCCCUUACAGUGCUGGGAUAAACUCUACCCUCUGGAGCAGAUCAAAGUGCUAGUCAAUUCUGAAAGAAUAUUCUUUGUAUAACAAGAAAUGUCCAUUUGAGAAAGAGGAGUAACCAUAAGGCUUCACUUGAUACAGUAGGGCCUUGUGAAAAUUGGAUUCACCAGACUCCUAGACAUAUCCAAGCAGAGAUCUUUGGCUGCAGUCCCUCCAAUGAACCAGAGGAAUUUGUUAUGUAAGGUAAUGGCCUGAACAUGAGGAGCAAUUUGGUUCAAGGCAUGCCCCAUGGUAAUAAUUUUGAGAUAUCCUGAAGUUCGGUUUGCUAAAACAUCUCCAAAAAAAAUGAAAGGCUUCGAUACAAUUCAGUGGUUUGAAACACAGCGUAUUUGUAAUGCUAAUCAAAAAUAAGCCUACCAAAAGCAUUGCCUCUUCUUAACAACAGCACUGCACAAUAUCCCGAUUCUAGAAGUGUCAGUGCCGUCUACACAAAGUAAAGAUCUUCUGUGCUUUUAGGCUUAAUAAAAAGCAAAGUAUAAGGCAUUCCAUGGUUCACUGAAUUAUUCUGUUAUGACCUACAAACUAAGUACAAUUUUGGCUUUAUUUUGUGAAGUAUUUCUGGAUGAGGGCAUAGCUUGGUGUUUAAAUGUAUGUUUUGUGUGCACAAAAGCCUCUGUGUACAGCACCACACACACACACACACACACACACACACACACACACAUACACACACCAUUUUUAAGAUAAUUGUAAAGGGUGAAAUAUUGGGUAAUUACAUUGUUAAACACAACUGAAUGUCAGUUAUGUAGAACAGGAAUUAGAACAAUUCUCCCCGGGGCUGGGAACUCGGUGAAGGUGUGCCCUCGCCACCCUGGGAAGACAUGUCAUAACAGUAGCCAGUGCUGGGCCCUUACGGUGUCCCAGAGACCGCACGGAGGAAUCUUUGAGUGCUGGUUUCAGCUGUACAGCAGUUUCAGGGUUUAGUACUGUGUCACUGUUACCCUUGGGGAUUGGAGAAAGGAUUAAUGAAUUUGUCCAGAAUGAAUAAUUUGAAAUGACAGGGCAGGGCCCAUCUGUGAUGGGAGUAGCACCUGUGUCACAGUCUGGGACUGAGUAUUUCCUAGAACAAAGGGCCAGCUCUCCUCCUCUCCGCCUCACUCACUGCUCUGCAGCUGAAAUGCUUUUCCAAUAGUCAGGUUAGAUUUCAGAAGUCGGACUGGGGAAAAAGGGCAAACUCUGGAUCUUAGUUCACCUAAUAGGUGUUAGUUUAACUUAAAUAACACAGUCAUUUUUAACGUACACACUCAUGUACACGUCUAGUUAUCUCUGAAAGAUGUCUUUCCCUCUGGGAAAACAGUAAUUUAUUUUUAAACACAGACUUUCAAAAGUCCGAAGAGAAGAAAGCUGAAAUAGCAGCUUUGUCUAGGCAGAAGAAACAAGCAAGCCAUUUACAUGGAGAAAGAACUGUCUGCUUGGGCAUAAUUAAACAUGAAGAAAUAUUUAUGUGGCUUAUUGAUUUUAUAAUACCACAGGGACUCAAACAGCGAUGCAGACGGAAGAAAGCACAAACCUAACUGAACCGGUGCUGCAUUAACCACUCCUCCGUGGUAUCAAGUUACAAAAAAAAAA